UACGUAGGUGGCGAGCGUUGUCCGGAUUUACUGGGCGUAAAGGGAGCGUAGGCGGACUUUUAAGUGAGAUGUGAAAUACUCGGGCUCAACUUGAGUGCUGCAUUUCAAACUGGAAGUCUAGAGUGCAGGAGAGGAGAAUGGAAUUCCUAGUGUAGCGGUGAAAUGCGUAGAGAUUAGGAAGAACACCAGUGGCGAAAGCGAUUCUCUGGACUGUAACUGACGCUGGGGCUCGAAAGCGUGGGGAGCAAACAGG
rnacentral:rRNA from 1 species